GAUGAACGCUAGCUACAGGCUUAACACAUGCAAGUCGAGGGGCAGCAUGGUCUUAGCUUGCUAAGGCCGAUGGCGACCGGCGCACGGGUGAGUAACACGUAUCCAACCUGCCGUCUACUCUUGGACAGCCUUCUGAAAGGAAGAUUAAUACAAGAUGGCAUCAUGAGUCCGCAUGUUCACAUGAUUAAAGGUAUUCCGGUAGACGAUGGGGAUGCGUUCCAUUAGAUAGUAGGCGGGGUAACGGCCCACCUAGUCUUCGAUGGAUAGGGGUUCUGAGAGGAAGGUCCCCCACAUUGGAACUGAGACACGGUCCAAACUCCUACGGGAGGCAGCAGUGAGGAAUAUUGGUCAAUGGGCGAGAGCCUGAACCAGCCAAGUAGCGUGAAGGAUGACUGCCCUAUGGGUUGUAAACUUCUUUUAUAAAGGAAUAAAGUCGGGUAUGGAUACCCGUUUGCAUGUACUUGAUGAAUAAGGAUCGGCUAACUCCGUG
rnacentral:rRNA from 1 species